rnacentral:lncRNA from 1 species
CACACUUCUGCUUCUAUUCUUUCAACAUGGAAUGUUUACAUGUGGCACACACUGUUGGCGCUUUUCAAAUAAACUAGCAAUAGACCGCCUUUUCCUCAUGGACCUGUUGCGCCAAAUGGCAGAGACCCGCUGAAUCCAUGUUCACAAUGAAAAGAGAAUCAUGGUUUAGUUGGUUUGUAAUUGGCAAACAUAUAAGGUAACAAAUUUAAUGCCCUUAUGUUGAACAUAUGUGUAUUUUUGAGUAAUCUCCCAUUGCGCAAAAUGACAGAGACCCACUAAACACCAUUUGUGCUCUGAGAUAAAAAUCCAUUUAUCAGUAGCACUAUUUGUCUACUACAUGCUUCAUAAAAGUGUUUUAUUUGUUUAUAAAAUGUAUAUGAUUGCAGUCCUUUGAUAACCUAAUACAACAUGUAAGUACCAUCGACCACUGACAUGAAAAGGAAAGUAAAAUACUUCCAUUACUUUGGAAAUGACCUCAGGCUCAAGCCACACAUGUCAUUAGUUGAGCUCAUUGAGACUGAAUUUCCUGACUGACCAAUUACAUUAUCUCCACAGUUCUGCUUCUAUUCUUUCAACAUGGACUGUUUACAUGUGGCACACACUGUUGGCGCUUUUCAAAUAAGCUCGCAAUUGACCGCCUUUUCCUCAUGGACCCGUUGCGCCAAAUGGCAGAGACCCGCUGAAUCCAUGUUCACAUUGAAAAGAGAAUCAUGGUUUAGUUCGUUUGUUGUUGGCAAACAUAUAAGGUAACAAAUUUAAUGCCCUUUAAUAAUUUAAAAAACAUGGCUUGUUGUCUACAAAGAGAUGUACACAUCAUGUAUGUUCAAAAACAUGGCUCUUUGAACAUAUUACAUGACUCGGCAUCUUCUUGUAGGAAAGAAAAAAGCAAAGAGAGAAGCAUCGAGGAAUCAGUAUAACAAUUUAGAAAUACAAUUCCAUCGAAAUCUUGCAAAAUCAUAACAAAAUUUUUAGGAGUUAUGAACAAUUAGAAAUACAUUAUACUGAAGGUUGAGUAAAAUAUGUCUUUUGGAUUGAGCAAAUAUAUAGCUGCAGAAAUUUUGCAAAUUAACACAUAACAAGAAUCUACGACUCUCUAGACUCCUUUUCCCUGCUAAAUAUGCACGCUUUCCAUGUAAUUUUUUUCAAUAUAUUUGUUCUAUAAACAAAUGCUUGCUUUCUUUCCUUUUUUUGAAGCAGGUCGCAUGCCAUCAACAGCGCAACACCGAACAACCAGAGCCCAGUCACCACAAUCAUGCACGAGCAGCAAGCCAGCAAAAAAACACAACAGGUGCCCAGACACAUACACAUAACUAAGCCAAUAGUAACCAAACACACAACAAGAACUUGUAGCUAGCAAGCGAGCGCUAUGACCAACUAUGUAUGAUGCUACCACCAAGCCAGCCACAACAAUCAUGCACGCAACGGCAAGCCAGUAAAAAAAUACAAUGGGUGCCCGGACACACACAACACUAAGUCAGCAAGCACACACACAGCAAGAACCUGUAGCAAUCAAGCAGGGAGGAUAGGAGGACAGCUGGGACCAGAACAAAAUUACCUUGCUAGCGACGGGAUGCCUAGGCGGAAGCGACUGGAGGCGGCGGCAGCGGCGAGUCCAGGCAGCAGCUACGCGAGCAUGAGACAUGCAUUUCAUUAGUUGGUAAUGGAAGCAUCCAUCAUAUUCAUACAUACCUUCGUUUCUUUAUGAGCACUCCACUUCUCUGCCUCACCCUGUUGACCUCCACCUCAAUAACCUGGUCAAUCAACAACACAUGAUCCAUGGGGUGAUGAUAAACCUUAUAUAUAUAUAUACAUAUAUCUGAAAAUGGACGGGAGGCAGUGCGGAGUAUUAGAUCUCUGAACUCUGACGGGCUGAUGAGCCAAUGGAAGAAGGGGAUGGUGAGGGCAGCAUUGAACACGUAGGCCCAGCGCCGGAAGGGAGUUAUCACCUCAGCUCACCUAGGAAGCAACAACUUCCAUUUCCAAAAGAAAAAUGAUCAGGAAACGUAAGCCGCUAUUGGUUAGAUACCAGCAAAUGAUUAAUUGUUAAAGACUACUUUGGGAAUAAUCACUCUGAGCAAUAAACGGUAAUAAACAGAGAACAAAAAGGAACAAAACAAAGCCAGGUUUUUUCACCUAAAAGGAAUUGUCAAAUGCAGCGAUAGCAUGUUUGCAUUUUUUUUCCAAAUUGCACAUGAGCUUUGACUGUAGGGAAGAGAUAAAACUUCCCACAAACAAACAUCCAGUUAUGAUAACCGUGAUCUCAGGAAGAGUAGAAAGAUGCAUCUUAUACUCUAGAGUUCAGAUAUAUCAAAAAUUCAUUCCAUCUGACCUCUUUGGAGUUAAACUAAACAGUUGUUCUUAUCCUGUAACAUGCUACUACUUAGUUGCACCCCUCUUACUCCUGACACUACAAACUCCAGUUUAUGUGGCGUACUUUAUGCAUAUACAAACGAUGUAUAAAGCCUGAACAUGGCAAAAAAAUGCAAGGGAUUACCUGAAUAUAUGAUACUGCAGUACACCUAAUUUUCUAACUGAAAUUAAACCUACCACUUCCUGUUCUCAGAUUUUAGUUCAUUUAUAAACUCUGCAUUCUACUCAUACAAGCAUACCACAUCUAAUAUUCUGCUGUAACCCAUAUUAUUGUUACCUUACUAAAUUCAUAAUUAUUAUCAGUUUAUAAUGGAAAUAAAGUACCCUAAUGCAUCCCCUAUUAAAUGGCGUUACGAACCGCAAUGUAUGUGUGUAUUGAUAUGCUUACAAACAUGCUAUGAAGCAUGGAACCUGGCAAGAUAAAUGCAAAGGAUGCCCAACAGAACUCUUGCUCCAUGACCUUACUUAUAUUGUGGUUGCAGACUUGAGUCCCACUUUGCUGAACCUUUUGUACAUGAUGUU